rnacentral:rRNA from 1 species
AUGAUCAAGACCAAGAAGGAUGGAUCAAUUGCAGCUUUCAUCCAGGAGCAGAACCAACAUAUUCGACGCCAGGAGAAUCAGAUGUGCACGGACAAGGAAGAACUGAAGAAGGCAUUCACGAAGAUCAAGGAACUCCAAGAAGAACUCAAGGCUAUCCGCGAAGAUUAUUUGGAGGAAAUCAACGCACUAGUAGGGAAGAUUGACGACCUGGAGAAUAAGAUUGGAGCAUUCGUGGGAAAUCCAGUGCCAAAAGCAGAAGUCGACGAAUGCACUUGUCCGGAUAACUACAUCAUCAUCGACGACACCGACUCGGAACCAAGUGAAGACGAAUGGAUUGAUGAAGCUGGAGCAGACAUCAUGGAGUCUUCAACGGAUCAGAAUUUCUAG